GUGCUUGCUUUGGCAGCAUAUAUAAUAAAACUGGAACAAUACAGAGAAUAGCAUGAUCCCUGCACAAGGAUGACACACAAAUUCAUAAAGCAUUCCUUAUUUAA